ACGAACGCUGGCGGCACGCUUAACACAUGCAAGUCGAACGAGAGAAGAGAAGCUUGCUUUUCUGAUCUAGUGGCGGACGGGUGAGUAACACGUGAGCAAUCUGCCUUUCAGAGGGGGAUACCGAUUGGAAACGAUCGUUAAUACCGCAUAAUAUAAUUGAACCGCAUGAUUUGAUUAUCAAAGAUUUAUCGCUGAAAGAUGAGCUCGCGUCUGAUUAGCUAGUUGGUAAGGUAACGGCUUACCAAGGCGACGAUCAGUAGCCGGACUGAGAGGUUGAUCGGCCACAUUGGGACUGAGACACGGCCCAGACUCCUACGGGAGGCAGCAGUGGGGAAUAUUGCACAAUGGAGGAAACUCUGAUGCAGCGAUGCCGCGUGAGGGAAGAAGGUUUUAGGAUUGUAAACCUCUGUCUUCAGGGACGAAAAAAGACGGUACCUGAGGAGGAAGCUCCGGCUAACUACGUGCCAGCAGCCGCGGUAAUACGUAGGGAGCGAGCGUUGUCCGGAAUUACUGGGUGUAAAGGGAGCGUAGGCGGGAUCGCAAGUCAGAUGUGAAAACUAUGGGCUUAACCCAUAAACUGCAUUUGAAACUGUGGUUCUUGAGUGAAGUAGAGGUAAGCGGAAUUCCUAGUGUAGCGGUGAAAUGCGUAGAUAUUAGGAGGAACAUCAGUGGCGAAGGCGGCUUACUGGGCUUUAACUGACGCUGAGGCUCGAAAGCGUGGGGAGCAAACAGGAUUAGAUACCCUGGUAGUCCACGCCGUAAACGAUGAUUACUAGGUGUGGGGGGACUGACCCCUUCCGUGCCGCAGCAAACGCAAUAAGUAAUCCACCUGGGGAGUACGACCGCAAGGUUGAAACCCAAAGGAAUUGACGGGGGCCCGCACAAGCAGUGGAGUAUGUGGAUUAAUUCGAAGCAACGCGAAGAACCUUACCAGGUCUUGACAUCGUAUGCAUAGCUCAGAGAUGAGUGAAAUCUCUUCGGAGACAUAUAGACAGGUGGUGCAUGGUUGUCGUCAGCUCGUGUCGUGAGAUGUUGGGUUAAGUCCCGCAACGAGCGCAACCCUUACUGUUAGUUGCUACGCAAGAGCACUCUAGCAGGACUGCCGUUGACAAAACGGAGGAAGGUGGGGAUGACGUCAAAUCAUCAUGCCCCUUAUGACCUGGGCCUCACACGUACUACAAUGGCUGUUAACAGAGGGAUGCAAAGCCGCGAGGUGGAGCGAACCCCUAAAAGCAGUCUUAGUUCGGAUUGUAGGCUGCAACCCGCCUACAUGAAGUCGGAAUUGCUAGUAAUCGCAGAUCAGCAUGCUGCGGUGAAUACGUUCCCGGGCCUUGUACACACCGCCCGUCACGCCAUGGGAGUCGGUAACACCCGAGGCCUGUAGUCUAACCGCAAGGAGGACGCAGUCGAAGGUGGGAUUGAUGACUGGGGUG
rnacentral:rRNA from 1 species